rnacentral:lncRNA from 1 species
ACUCCCUGACGCCCACCCCUGCCCUGGCUGGAAAAUCUGAAGUUGAUGGAGGUGCUUGGUGUUCGUGCACAGCCGCCUGGGACUCACGGGACAGCCCCAUAAGUCACAGCCGGUUCCCGCAGGGGGCCCGGCCAUCCCACGUGAGCCUGUAGCCAGGAAGUGGGCAUCCACCCACGGGGCUCAGACAUCCUGGCUCUGGAGGGCCGGGUCCAGCAGAGGCCUUAAAGCUGCCUUUGUGCCUGACCCGGGGGGGCUGGGGAGGGGUAGGGACGGGCAGGGGGAGGCGCAGGGACGGGCAGGGGGAUGGGGAGGGGGAAGGGGAGGGAUUUGCCAGGACAAUAUAUUUGGGGAACUCCAGUUACACGAGGGUGACCUCACUCUUUCCUUUCUCAAAAUUGCCUCCCAACGUCCCCGGGCCUGGCGAGAAGCCAGGCAGGACGCCACGACGCGUCGUGUCUGAGAGAAAACCGUCUCCCCUCCACUCAGGCUUCAGCCCCGACCCCACGCUAACUGGGCCAGGGCAGGGGCUGGGCUGGGAGGGGACCCAGUGAGCUCAGGGCUGGAGGAAACGGUCCCUGCUUUGAAGUGGCUCCGGCACCGGCCUCUCCCACCACCCUGUCAUGAGAAGCAAAGAACAUGGAAAGCAGAAUUCCUGGGGGUGGCCUCAACCCCAAGCCCUGCCGAUGCAAACCGGCACCUUGAAGAUGCCUUUGGAAUUUAACUGGAAGAUUUGAAUGACAUGGGCAGACACAGAAGAGGGAGAAGCAUUCCACAGGGGAGGAAAGGCCUCAGUGGGGACCUAUGGAGCUCCCAGGCCCACCGCAGGGAGGCAGGUCCUCGGUCAUCUGCGGAGGGAGAACACUUUCAGUCGAAGGAGCCUGGGACCCUUGACACAGAAGUGACAUGUGCAUUCGGAACCUCUCUGUGGAAAACACAGACCCUUCAUGACACGCAAACUCGAAGCCGGUGAGGCCGAGUCUCAGGGCUGCGCCAACCAGGAAGCCUGGCUGUCCAAUGUUCCAAAUCUGGAUGUGAAAUGGACCAUGCAGACAGGACCCAAGGGGCAUGGGGGAGCUGGCAGAGGCACCCGGGACAAGUGGGGAAGCACCUGUCGGCCAGGAAGGUAGAGAGGCACCUACCCCAGAACACGGUGCCAGCGUCACACUCUUAUUAACAGAUGCAAUAACCACCUUCGGAGACCAGACCCCUCAAAGAGCACUCAGCCCACAAUGUGACGCAGAGAAACCAGAGACCCAGGCAGGGAGUGCACCCACGGGGACACUCCGAGGGUGGCCUCCUGCCUGCCCUGAUUACUUAAAAAGGAGAUUCUUGGAAACCUUUGCGGGCCCACAGGUGCACCCUGACUCCCAGGGAUGGGGGCUGAGCCACCCAGGAAACAAAUAUGAAAUCAAAGAUCCAGACAGCCCUGACCCUCCUGAUUCCAGGGUCCAUAAAUAAGUCAUUCUUAAAAUAGUGGUUGUUUUCUCUCUAUUUAAGAAGUGCUUCUUUUUUGAGUCCUUGUUCCCAACUUCCCUGGCAACUCAGUUUCCUGUUUCCUCCGGGAGGAAGGCAGAACUGCAGGAGAGGGACGGAGGAACACAGUCCCCAACUCUCUGUGAUCAGCAGAGCCCAGAGAGCCCAGCCUCGUGUACCAAAAAGGUCUGGGAGCCCCAUUUUUCUUCAGAGGAAAUGUUAAUGCCCGAAUGUCACCAGCUCAUCGCCGACAAAGGCCUGAACACAAACGUCUCCAGGCAACAGCCCCGAGCAGUCACUCUGGAAGGUUACGUGAAGCUGCUGGCUCAGAUUUUAAAUCGUCUCACAUGUGGGUUGCCCCACCUACCCCAUCAACAAACACAGCUUCGCACUUCUGCAUCAGAGGCUGUGCUGGGUUCUGGGGACACGGAAGGCCCCCAGCUCUCAGGCCUGGUAAGAGAAAGAAAAACACGAAGACAUUCCAGCCGGCCCUUCCUGCGGGGGCCGAGGGCAGAGCCCCUGGUCUGUCUCUUGCUCCAUCCUCACCCGCCCCUAUGAGGUCAGCACUGCUGUUCCGUCCAGUUUCCAGAUAAGGAAACAAGACACAAAGUAACUUCACCCAAGGUCAAGAAGCCAGGAAGAGGUGAAGUCAGGCUGAAGCCCCUAUCAUGAACGCUCCUCCACGGUCUGGCUUCCCUAUAGGGGCAGAGCCCUCCUCCGAGCAGAGCAUGUGCCUCCCUCUCGUCCACCCCUCCCUCUCUCUGUCUCUCUCUCCAUCUGUGCCCUGGACUGGUCUCUAAGCUGGGGAUUGAGGGCCUGAGCGUCUGGGACGGCCACCCCCAGCUCUCUCUGGGCAGGCGUCCAGUAAGGAGCCCCUGCUAUUUGGGUCAGGGCUGGCCAGUGGUGCUGGGUCAGGACAGUUUCCAGGAAACGGCCUGUCCCGGGUUCCAGUCCUACCUGGCCUGUGGCUCAGAGAUCACAAACCUUUUGAAAGCCCCCGCCCACACCACUCCCGAUCCUGAUGCCUCCCCCUCCUGCAACACCUCAGUUCCUGUGCUUCUCACUCCACGGAUGGCUUCCGCCUCCCACAGCUGACUGAGCUCUCAGAUGGAGACCACAUGUUCCUUGCAGGCUCUAGUGCCCAGCCCGGGUCUGACGCAGAAGCUCCUCAGCACAAUAUGGAUGGUUGGAUGGGUGGGUGGAUGAACGGAUGAGUGAAUGGACACAUGGAUGUACAGGUGGGUGAGUAGACGAAUGAAUGGAUGGAUGGAUGGAUGGAUGGAUGGACAGGCGGGUGGAUUGAACAGGUGGGUGAGCGGAUGGAUGGAUGGACAAAUGGGUGAGUAGAUGAAUCGAUGGAUGGAUGGACAGGUGGGUGGAUGAACAGGUGGGUGAGUAGAUCAACGGAUGGAUGGAUGGAUGGACAGGUGGGUGGAUGAACAGGUGGGUGAGUAGAUCAACGGAUGGAUGGAUGGAUGGAUGGACAGAUGGAUGGACGGACAGGUGGGUGGAUGAAUAGGUGGGUGAGUAGAAUAACGGAUGGAUGGAUGGAUGGAUGGAUGGACGGACAGGUGGGUGGAUGAACAGGUGUGUGAGUAGAUUUGAGUAGAUUAAUGGAUGGAUGGAUGGAUGUAAGGAUGGAUGAUGGAUGGAUGGACAGGUGGGUGGAUGUACAGGUGGGUGAGUAGAUCAACGGAUGGAUGGAUGGAUAGAUGGACAGGUGGGUGGAUGAACAGGUGGGUGAGUAGAUCAACGGAUGGAUGGAUGGAUAGAUGGAUGGACGGACAGGUGGGUGGAUGAACAGGUGUGUGAGUAGAUUUGAGUAGAUUAAUGGAUGGAUGGAUGGACAGGUGGGUGGAUGUACAAGUGGGUGGGUGGAUGGAUAGAUGGAUGGAUGGACAGGUGGGUGGAUGAACAGGUGUGUGAGUAGAUUUGAGUAGAUUAGUGGAUGGAUGGAUGGAUGGAUGUAAGGAUGGAUGAUAGAUGGAUGGAUGGACAGCUGGGUGGAUGAACAAGUGGGUGGGUGGAUGGAUAGAUGGAUGGAUGGACAGGUGGAUGGACCGACAGAUGAUGGAUGGGUGGCUAUUAGAGGAGAGGAAGGAAGGGAAAAGUGAAUGAAAAAACGGAUGCCUGGAAGGAUGAAUGGAAGGAUGGCACUGCCUCUUUAAGGGCAUUGCAACAAAUAUCAAAAGCUGCUGGAGUGGCCACCCUUGGGACCCUCAGUUCCACAUUUAGGAACUUGAAGAAACAACGGGAUGACUAUGAAAAGAUGUAAAAAUAUUGUAAUAAUAUUCACCGAAGCACUGCCAGCAACAGAGGCUUUAUUAAAUAAACGACACUGAAAAGAUGUGUGUGUGUAAUAAUAUUCACCGAAGCACUGUCAGCAACAGAGGCUUUAUUAAAUAAACGACAAUGAAAAGAUGUGUGUGUGUAAUAAUAUUCACCGAAGCACUGUCAGCAAUACAGGCUUUAUUAAAUAAAUCACAGUCCUUCUCAACAACCUAACACCGUGUGGUCAUUAAAAAUGGUGGUGUAGAUACAUGUAACAAGGAAUAAAGGUGUUCACAGUGUUGCCAGUGAAAAUAGGGUGUCGAUGAAACUGUACAAUUUAAAAACACAACCAUAAAGUAAAUAACCUAGAGGCUAUGCACCGUAAGGCUAAUAGCAACUGUGGGGUGGAGAGGGGGUGGGGUUGGGGUCAUUUUCAUGUGUUUUUUUCUUUUUCUUUUGUUUUUUUUUUUUUGAUUACUUGUACUGACGUGUAUUUUCUAAUUUUCUAUAAUUACAUUGUAAAUCUGUGUAAUUUUAAAAAUGAGGCCGUUCAUCAUUGGAGAAAACACGACACGUACGCUUAAGGGCAGACUUAAGGCUCUUAACAUUUUUAAAGCAACCAAAAGAGGCAAAAUGUAGACUUUAAAACACAAAAAUGUGCUUUUCUGAGUGUGGCACAGACUCCAAGCCCACAACGUCUGAGGAAGCGUACGGGAUCAGAACCAGCAGCUCCGUUCACAGCCAAACUCGCCUUCAAAAGGCAAGGAGAUGGCGCGCCAAGCUCAGCCCCUGAAAUCACACACGCGGGGUUGAACGUGAGUAACUCAGCCCAUCGUUCCGCACUGUGAAUCUGCUCCAAUACCUGCAGAGACAGGUCCAGCUCCCACUACGAGGGCCCACCGACCAACACGGUACACCGAGGGUGAAAAAGCCACGACCAGGCCCACCUGGAAAACACCAUCAGCUCCUAGAAAUGCCACUUCCUUCCUCCUCCCGCCGCUCCGGGCCUCCCGAGCCAAGACAAGCGCAGGUUGGGACUUGCACGGGAAAGCUCACCUGAGA